GCGGGCGCACGCACGACUCCCGGGGUCGUUCACACCAACUCGGCCGCCACCGCGGCUGCAGCACAUUCACUCUUUUAUUGGUUCCCUCCCGGGGCCCCCUCUCCAGUGAAGUGAGAAGCGGCGACUGGGGACUCCAAAAGCUCCCGCGUGGGGCUCUCGCCGCGGCCCCACGCGCCUGCGUGGCCGGCCCUCCAGCCCGAGCUAGCCCUGCCCCUUUCUCCACCCAGAUCCUCCCCGCAAGGCUCCUCCUCGUCACCCCCACUGGCGGGAGGCUCCGCCCACUCUCCCCGCUGCUCCAGCCUCCUCCUCCUCCAGCCCCGCUCCCUUCUUCCUCUUCUUUCACCUUCGUUUUUUGUUUUUUGGUUUUUUUUUUCCCUUUCUGGAAAGCCCCCCCGGGACAAGGACGACUUUUGGAAGAUUGCCCAAAACGAUAGCUAGAGUGCGCUCUGGUCUGGGCAAGGGAAAUGGAGGAGAAAGGCGACAGGAGGAGUCGAUGGCUUGGGCCAGUGGUGCCUGGAGGCGCCUGGCACCCACUAGAUCGCUAGCCAAGCGGGCGGUGCCAAGAGCUGUCAGGCAAAGAUCUGGUCAGCUGGAGAGACUUCUGGGGACACUUGAGAGGUAGAACAGGUUUGGCGAGCGCUGGCAGCCUGGGUUGCCACUAAAGAUCUAUUGCCCGCGUGCACGGCAUCUGGAUGUAGAGCACUGCUCUGCACCCAAGCCCUCUUGGCUGGAUACCUAGCAGCCCAGCCUGCUGAGUUUUCCCAGGGCUGUCUAUGGAGGCUGAGCUCUGUUACCUGGACCAUCUCACUACUUGAAGAGGCCCUGCUGUAUAUAAUUUCAAACCACGGUUCCCCUAGUCUCUUGACUUUAGCAUAGCCUGGUGCCUGUGGACUUCUUUGGCUCGGUGCCCAUCCAGCAGAUUGAAUUUGCUUAGAUUGCUGUAACUACUGGAAGCAAGCCCAAGUUCAUUGCAAAUCUUUGGAUGCUGGCAGUUGGACUACAAGAGAAUCUCUUCAUGAAGUCACCCAACAACUGAGGUAGUUUUUCCUUCCACGGUAACUGCUUUUUCAGCACCCUCAGCAAUAUUAUGCUGCUGUAGUCCCCUGGAGCCUUACUCCUUUAUAUGUUUCCUUUUAUGAGUCUGUCGGUGCUCACAAAUUUAGUAUAGUCUUCUAAACUGGUGGACAAAGCAACUGAAGCACAUUUUUAAAUUUUUUUAUCGGUAGGUUUAGUAAUAAACUUCAGGGGUUCUUAUUCUUCACAUUGACUUAUGCUUAUAAAAUUAUUUAGUAAUGUUUACUUGAUUUUGAUUAAAGUAGCUGUAUUUGUUAUUGCUUAGGUAUAUUUUCUAGAUGAAGAAAUACAACUGUGCUUAAAAAUAAAGUAACUUAAGUGCUGAAACUUUUUACAUAAUUUUGUAUGAAAAUAAAUUCAAAUUUUGGGUUGGAGGUGGGUAUAUUGCAGUUGGUAUGGUGCCCACUGAGAACACACAAGGCCUUGAAUUUGACCCCCCAGCACUGCAUCAACAAGGUGUGGUGACACAUACCAACCAAUCUGUCAUCCUAGAAGUCAAAAGAUGCCAGAGGAUCAGAAUUCCGAGAUUCUCCUUCACUGCUCCAUAGUAAGUUUCAACCCAGCCUGGGCUACAUGAGCUCCACAGUAAAGAAAAAAGGAAAGAAGUGGGAGAGACGAUGGGAGGGAGGAAAGGGAAGAAGGAAGGAAGGGAUGAUCGAACAAACGAAGGAAGGAAAGAACAAAGAAAUGAAGGAAGGUUAAAGGAAAAGAAAAGAACGAUGGAUGGAAAGCAAGAUACUAAAGAAAUUCACAUUUAUAUUUUAGAUAUCAAUACCAUAUUUAGUUCUUUAAAUCAUUAGUAUUACAAGAAGGCAAAUUAAUAAACACCUUGGUUCUAAGAACAUAUUUAAUACGCUUUCUGAAAAAUUAUGUAUGAAAAGAAAUUUUAUAGAAAUUUUAAUUGAUGUGUUAAGAAAGUUUAUUUGUCAUGGUAGACGGAAAGAUCAGUUUGUGAACUGAAAGACCGUAGCUCUCCAUUGAAUCCUUGCUUUGGAUUCUCCACAUGUUAGGGACAGGUUUAUGCUCCAUUUUAUAUUACAAGUGCUGAAAAUGGGAUAUGGUCAAAACCACAAGUUAACACCUAUUUUGUUCUUAGUCUGAAUUGCUAUUCUCAAUCUUUGUCAUUCGUGAUGGUUUCAUUUGAAAGUAAGAUUAAUAUUUAUAUAUACGGUUAAUAUUUAUAUGAGCUUCUGAUUACCAACCAAUAGGUAGUUUGAACUAGUAUCUAAAAGGCGUCACAGAAAUAAUCUCUUCUUUUCUUCGUUCCUUCAUAGACUAUAGCAUUUCACAUGAGAAGACGGUUUCUCUUUGAGGCUACGUCUCCUGCAUUUGAAUUGGAGAAGUGCGGUGCCUGGUUGGGAGGGCUGUGGGAGGCUGAUGUGUGUGUCACCAUCUGUGAAUCCUCAUUUCUUGGCAGCUUUGUUGUCCAGCAGAGAAAAAACUCAAAAGACAACUGAUAUCUGUUUUUAAUCAUCAUAUUUUCCAGAGAAAGGAAGAAGCCCUCUUGUCAUCUGUUGGCUCAGGAUCCACUUUGCUUCUUGCUCCCUAAGAUUCCGCUGAGAUAAAAACGUUGAAAGACAACUUCAUUCAUUUCCUGCACCGGUCCUUCACGCAACACCUGCUCUAUAAACACACUUUGUUCAAGCGGGAUUGUUAGCUCUCCCAUUCUCAAAUGGUCUGCUUUAAAAUUUUAAGUUGUAAAAUAAAAAUCCUUUAAUCCCCUCAUCAUCCAAUAACCCAGCUAUCUCAUCUAUUCUGCUCUUUAGGUAUCCUAUAUAAAUCUAGUUUUAUGAACAAUGAAAUUUCUUUUAUACAAAAUAUAUUUUUUUUAAAAAAAAAAAGUUGGCAUUCUUUUAUCUAGCUGUAGGUUCCCUGAAAUAAACUGAAAACAUGGUGAUAAGAUGAAGAGAAUCAGAGGAUGACUGGGGAGGAAGGUCCUUCAGGUGAGACAAAGCAUCACUAUGGAGUGAUACAUUUCUUUUUCCACAAAGGAGUGUGAGCCGCAGUUGUCUGGCUGUAUUCCAAGUUGCAGGAUGGUACCCUGCCUCCCUCACCCUGCAGCUUCAAUUACAUUCAUUGCCCUCACAAUUCCCCGUCAGGAAUGAUUGUGUUGAUGAGCCGGUUAAGACAGCCCUUACCUCUGAUGCCUGAGAGGCUUCAUCAGAAGAGCCAGGCAACUUUUCUAUCCAUCACCAAUGCAAAAGCUCAGCGCACAGCAAAUAAAUAAAUGACAUCACUUGGAAGGACUGCCACCUGCUCUGACUCUAUUUUAACAUACUCCAUCACUCUGCUGCGGCUGAGCUAAGAAUGUGAACGAGCCGACCUGAUUAUACUGAUGCUGAGUGUUUAAGAUGUCUCACACAUUCCAGACCCUCUCGGCGAUAACACAAAAGACCAGUUGCUUUUGUUACUUCUCUCAUACGCACAAAGAACAGUACACGCUGAACACUUUUUGUUAGCGCAAUGCUAUUUCGCCUAAAACACAGUUCUUGCAGAGGAAUACCAAAAACUCUUGCUUCCCAGUGGGUAUGCUGAUCACAAAUGAAUCUUGACCUUUUAUUUUCUUUAGAGAAUAAGAUGAUAUAUUUUCCAUAUCCAGACAGAGAAGGAAAAGGAACACUUGUUUUGCUCAGAGUUAAGCUACACAUACUGCUGGACUUUUUCUGCAGUUCCAGUCUGAAUACCAAGAUUGUUUAGAGCGCAAACAGUCUGGAAGUACUCAAACGGAUUGAAGAAAAAUAAAGCAGAUUUUCUUCACUCACGGUUAAUUCCACAAAUAGUGUUGGCACACACUAGGUGUAUCGUGAGUGCUUGCUGGACUGAAUAAUGGUACUUACUGCCACGGGAGGUAGUUUAAAUCAAAGUGUCAAUUUAAACAUCGACUUUUAAAAAAAGAAAUGAAAAGAAAAAUUUGGCUUCAAUGAUUAAGUUGAACUUAGUAGCAUAUGUUACAUCGUUAACUCUAUUAGGGAGUGAUGAGUACCAACGGUGGAGAGAAGCGUACUAGUUCCUUAUUUAUACACACAAUCUUCCUAUUUUUAUCCUUUUUUUGUUGUUGUUGUUUUUAGUAACUAAAAUGGAAACAUAAACCAGAGUGUGAUGCAUUCCUUUUCCCUACCACCAGAUGCUGGAAUAGAACCAUAGCUCACAGGAAGGACGUUCAGAAUUUCAUAUGCGAUCAAGAAGCAGAUGGAAAGCGCCCAUGUGCUUCAUGUCCUGCUGACUGCUUUAAAGCAAGUAAAAGUUCAUCUACUUCUUUAUGCUUUGGUUAAUAAAUAACAAUUCCACUCAGAAUGAAUAAGAGGGGGCUUCGGAAAAGUGUGGUUCUCACAGGCAUAAAAUGACUUUGGGAGAUUGGUCUCAUUUAAUCCCGGCAAACAAACUUUCAUGGAAACAAGAAACAUAACACAGCAUAUAGGGAAAUAUCUAUAAUAAACAUCCCAGAGUUAUUGUGUAAUAUGAAACCAGUUCACAUAUUCAGUCUACUGGAUGUUCAGGAAACUGUACUAAAUAAUAUUCCCGGGUGUGUGGGGUGCUUAAUCUCUACCAUCAACAUGAUAAGAUUUAGAAUCUACAUGGAAAUCGAUUGUGAGGAAUUACAUACAGUAGGUUAGCUGAGGUUGGAAGACCCACCCUCAUACAUAUGGAUGCGACCUGACCAUGGGCUGGAAAACUUGAAUGAAUAAAAAUGGAAAAGCAAAGUUAACACAAGAAGUCAUCAUUCUCUGUUUCCUGACUAUGGAUGCACUAUGACCAUGGAUCGCUUGUUCCUGCCCUCAGACCUUCCCUGACAUGAUGGACUGACUGUACUCCCUGAAUAUGCCAGAAUAACCCCCACUUUCCCUUCAGUCGCUUUUGUCGGGUAUUUUGUGUAGCAACAAGUAACUAACAUUGUGAAUAAAGUAAAUAAGAAACACCA